ACUACAGAAGCUAAUAAGGAAUAGCACUAACCUUUUAAGUUAGAGAAUAGAGACUACCACCUCUCAUUAGUG
rnacentral:tRNA from 1 species